rnacentral:lncRNA from 1 species
AGUCUCCGCCCCAAAGGACAAGUUUGGUGAAAGAAGCCAGAAUUACUCGGCAAGGUGGAAACUGGAGGGGAAAAAUUCCCUUUUAGAGGUAACUUGGAUACAAGUGUGUGUGUGGCCUGUACUAGGAACACGUUCGCAGUGGUAGGUGCGGGAAGUGGGUCUCUACUUCAGCAAAGUCUGCAUUUCCUUAAAGGUCCUCCAAAUUGUUGAAGUUGAGGCCAAUCUGGAGGAGGAGAGCCGGAACAGUUCCAAAAGCCUCCAAUCUAGGCCUGUCACUAGACUCCUCCUAGAGGAGAAAGAGGCGGGGUGGAGGACGAGGAAAGGCUGAACCUAACUACACCAUCCCUGCCCGCGAGUAGAUAGAUAGCUUCCAGACUCUUUAAUUUGCCCUUGUCGCCUGACUCUGGCCUAAAGCAGUUGACAAGAGUCAUCUGACACUUGCCACUGUGUCUGGCCUGGCUGGUUCAAGAGAAGGCCAGUGUACCAAAAGCCCUAUUCAGACUAGUGUGAAUGAGUGACCAGCUGGUGGGGCAGAGAACAGGCUGUGCUGUGGAGGAAUAGGGGGACUGGCCAUACAGAGGCAGGAGGUGGCUUUCUCUCAGUGAAGAGGUUUUCUCUCCUUCAAACACAUCCCGAUGGUCUUGCCCUCAGGAUUAACAUUCCUUUUUGUUCAUUUCUUGGGCUUAGGGAUUUGAGUUUUGAGCAGGAGUUUCACUGUUGUAGCCUAGGCUGGCCUCAACCUACCAGCAUUCCUGCUGUUUAUCUUCAAUAUUGGAUGGUACCACCUGUCAAUCAUACGGGUCUGAACAAGCUUAUUGUGCGGUUCCAGCCUUUUGUGUGUUCUUAGUGGGGCUGUGUGCAUGUCAGAUGUAUUUCCCCAUUUGUAGGUAAAGUCCUGUCCAGUAAGGAGAAAAAUGAGAAAAACCUGGUGGUGCCCUGCAAGGGCCAGUCCCCCUGAGACCCAUGAUAAGGCCUGUGGUCUUUGCCCUCUUUGAUGCCCUUUCCUUUCAUAUCUAUCUAACCCCUGCUUACCCUCAGGCCAUAGUUCACACUCACUCUGAAGACCUAAGCCCCUAUGCCCUCCUCCUAUGGCCUGGAGCUGCCUUGGGGUGGGGACUUUGAUGUCUUGACAUUCUACCUGAGAGAUUGAGAGGGCAGUUCAGACUUCUCUGUUCAGGGCCCUAGCUUUAGGUGGGAAGCUGCCUGUCACCAGCUUCCUGUUUAAGUAGUAUCUAAGCCUAUCACCAAAUGGGACCAUCACCACAGUUACCCCCUGUAUUGUCACAUCUCUAAAUCUUUUGAUCCGCCUCCAUCCACUCUCUUAGGGCACUUGUGCUACGUAGGUGAGUUCAACAAAGUUAUCAAGUGAAAGAUCAGUACACAAUCGACAGCUGCCUUCCUAAAACACUCUACCAAUGUGGAAGAUGUGGAAAUUAAAACAAAAAUUAAACAGUCAUAAUCUAAGUGUGGUUAAAAAUAAUACUCAGCAGCCAGGCUAUGGUGGUGCACGCCUUUAAUCCCAGCACUUGGGAGGCAGAGGUAGGUGGAUCUCUGUGAGUUUGAGGACAACCUGGGCUACAGAGUGAGUUCCAGGACAGCCGGGGCUACACAGAGAAACUCUGUCUCAAAAAAAACAAAAACAAACAAAAUAUAUAAAAUACUUAGCUAUAAACAGGAAUAGCACCUAUAUGCUAAAAAUUGUACAAUGCUUGUGAAAGAAACCAACAAAAACCUAGAGAAAUGGACAAGUAUACCUUAUUCACAUAUUGAAAGACUCAGCAUGUUAGCUAAUAUUAGUUUUCUCUUAAUUGGCCUCUAGGGCUAACGGGACUUUUAUCAAGAGGUUUUUAUACACACAGAUUACAAGAAAAUAUUUGCAAACCACACAUCUAACAAAGGACUACUACAUGGUGUUUUUCAAAUCCAAUUAAGGAUAUGGGCAAAACACCGAAG